ACAAUUUGUGUUUUGGUUUUGUUUCGUUUGAAUUUUGCAAAAAUGAACAGAAAGUUAAAAUAUUUAAAAACAAUAAAAAUCCUUACGUCUGUUUUAGACGGAAUACGCAUAUUGACAGAAAUUAGUGAAAUUACAAAAACAAAGAGUUCGGUCGUGUUCAGUGAGGGAAAUAAACAGAAAGAGGAAGAAGGAUGGAAGGAUGGAAGGAAGAGGAUUGACCACGCUGAUUUUUUUAUAUACACGCGAAUGACGCCACAAGUAUAUGGGCUUUUGCUUACUCUUGUUGAGCCCUUUUUAAAAAAAGAAUUCGUUGAGGGAGCCUGUGCAACCGGAAUGUCGAUUAGCUUUGACAUUACAAUAUUUGUCACAAGGAACUUCGUUUCAAUCGUUGGCAUGGUCAUUUCAACUGGGGAAGGAAACGGUUAGGCGCAUUAUUCUGGAGACAGCUGAAGUCCUUUGGACAAAGUUAGGCGCUGUUUAUGUAUCUGAGCCUAAUGAAGAAGAUUUCAAGCAAAUUUCUCAAGACUUCUGGGAACUGUGGAAUAUGCCCAACUGUGUUGGAUCUAUUGAUGGGAAGCAUAUCGCUAUUCGAUGCCCACCUAAAAGCGGUAGUCAAUUUUUCUGCUACAAAAAAAUUUUUUUUCUAUUGUAUUGUUAGCAGUGUGUGAUGCCCGAUAUCGGUUUACCUAUAUAGAUAUUGGUGCAUAUGGAAGUCAGAGUGAUGGUGGUAUUUUUCAAGUGAGUCGAGUGGGAAAGAGGUUAUUAGAUCAUAAACUUCCCAUCUCUCCAGCGAAAAACUUACCAAAUACGCAACUAAAAACUCCACACUUCUUCGUUGGUGAUGCUGCCUUUCCUUUAGGGGCAAAUUUAAUGCGCCCAUACCCUGGGGGAAUGCUACCAAAUGAAAAAGAGGUGUUUAAUAAAAGGUUAUCAAGAGCUCGUCGCACAAUUGAAAACUCUUUUGGAAUACUACAUAGUAGCGCGUUGGCGAGUUUUACUAACAACAUUACAUUUAUUUCCUGAAAAUGCAGAAAAAAUUGUUUUAGCGUGCGUUGCCUUACAUAAUUUUAUUAUGUUUAACAACGUUAAUGCAUCUUCGUAUAUUGCAAGCAACUAUGCUGAUUGACAUGACGGUUUAUGGCGUAGAGAAGUUGAAAGUAAUAUCCCAUCGAUUAUGCAAUCUUCCAAUUUGCAUCAUUACGGUGGAAGAAGUUCUUUGGAAAUUAGAAAUAACUUAUGCAGUUUUUUUAACACUUUUUAAAACAUAUUCUAAAAUCACAUAUCUAACAUCAUUUCGAACUUGUUUAUUUCUUUUUUAAUAAAACUAAAUGGAGUUUAAUUAAAUUCA